rnacentral:lncRNA from 7 species
GGAAGGGAGAUGCCUCGUGGGGCGGGAAAAUGGCGGCUGCGCCUUUAAGUGGGAGGGGUAGAAAGGUGGAUGUUCUGGGCUCAGAUAGCCUCUCAGGCAGGUAGCAUGCGUAAGGCGCUGCCUCUGCUGUUUCUGUGUGUGAAGUAGUAGUCCUCAGAAAUAGUGCUUUGGGAAACUGGCAGAAGCUCUGGUGUUUAGUGUUUCAGUCUGAAGUUAAGAAGUUAGUGAGAGGGACCAGAAAACAAAAGAGCUAACCAACUCCACUCACUAAGUUAAGUCACAUGAAGAGUAUUACUUCUUUGCCAGAAGAAAAGAAUAUAUGUAUUUUAACAAUCUUAUUACACAAUUUAAAAGGAAUAAGACAUUUAAAGGGUUAAUAACUCCUUUCACUAAAUGCAUGCAGGGCUUUAAGAGCCCACUCCUGUGUGAGACCCAUUGCUUUUUGGGAACUUCAAGCUCAGAUUCAUCUGCUUCCCACCAGACCUUACGAAUCCUAAUGGGAUUAUCUUUGUCAAACGUGACCUAUUGUCAUGCUAUCUUACCAUUGCUCCACACUCUGCUUUAUUUAUUUAUUUAUUUAUUUAUUUAUUUAUGUGUUUUGCUUUGUUUUCUGUGGCUUUGGUUUGCCAGUUCUGAAAUUUGGGAUUUUUUUUUAAAAUUUUUAUUUUUUUUUCCCCUGGAGUGUUUAGAAAUGCUUGUCUAAGAAAGUACUACUAAUGCUAUUCUCACUUACUCUACUACGUAGCCAAAUCCAGGCCAGCACUGUGAACUGUUUUCUUUUUACUGUCACACACUGGCAAUGUAGUGUGAGAUAGCUGACACUGAGGAUGUUUCUCCCUUUUGCUUUAGGUUUUUGGUAUUCUUUUUCUCAACAACAACAGCAUCUGGAAGCAAAGCAAGGGAUUUACUUAAGGCACAUUUGAGUUAGGCAGGGUAGUGCAAACACUGUCAUUUCUACUAAUGUUUUCCUCCAGAUUUUAAAACCGUGAAAAACAUUCCAUAUUUUAGAUAGGGAAACAGUGCCAGAAGAAAUUGACUUGUCAUUUGAUAAGUCUUAUGAUUAGUGUAAUAAAUUAAAUGGGUUGGGAUUUUUGCAAAUGAGGAAUCAGCUUUUGAUUGCUCAGUAAUUGACUAGAGUAACCAUCCGCCAAUAGCUGAUGGUUCAUUUCAUUUAAGUGAAUGAAGCUGCUUUAUGAGCAAAAUAUGCUGGCCAGUGGUGAGUCUGUGCUACAGACAAGGGAAGUGCAUGCUACAUGGAGGAGGAAGCAGAAAGAACAGAAUCUUCAACUGAGAGACAUUUUCUCAGACAUAUACUUGUUCUGAGGGAUCUCAUCCUCUUCAUCUAAGAAAGUGAGCACUCUGCAUAAAAUCUUCUACUUCAGAGUUUGUGCUUCUUCAUGGUCACCAUCUUUCUUUAAAGAAUCUGAAGAGGAGAGUGGAAAAACUGGGUAGUAUUCAGCAACAGAGAAGUCAGACAUAGCUAGAAAGCUGGUAUUUCCACCUUUUGAUCCCGGAGCUAUCCAUGGUUAUCACUUUCUGUUGUUUGUCUAUUGCCUGUCCUUAGCAGUUCAUAAUUCUGAUGGUGCUGUUGGGCCAAGUGAAAUUGCUAAGAGUUUGAGCUAUGAGAAUAAACCAGCUGUGCUCAUAUGUACAUUCCUAUCAGAUGUACUGCACAGAGUUCCUACAGCAGAGCAAAGGAAAGCUGCACAUUAAUCUUUGUGAGCGUCUGUAGUAGGAACAGAAAUUCAGCUUCCUCAUCCUUGUACAAGGAAUAAAUUUUUAGAUGUAAACUUUAAGGCACUAGGAAGGGAAUUAUAUAAUGAGUCAAU